UUCGUUUGAUUUUAUAACUUUAAAACUCCUUUAAUUAAUCUUUGUUAAUGGAUUUUGGUAUCUUUUGUUCCCUCUAUUAGUCAACCUCAAAUUAAUAGGUUAUAAGGAUCUUAAGUGUCGUUUAAGUGUAAUAUCAUUUUAGGUUCAAUUUUUGGAUCAAAUUAAACUUUAUGCAUAAAUUAAGAGAUCAAAAUGAACUUUUAUGAUGCC
rnacentral:lncRNA from 1 species